rnacentral:rRNA from 1 species
GAUGAACGCUGGCGGCGUGCCUAAUACAUGCAAGUCGAGCGAACGGACGAGAAGCUUGCUUCUCUGAUGUUAGCGACGGACGGGUGGGUAACACGUGGAUAACCUACCUAUAAGACUGGGAUAACUUCGGGAAACCGGAGCUAAUACCGGAUAAUAUUUUGAACCGCAUGGUUCAAAAGUGAAAGACGGUCUUGCUGUCACUUAUAGAUGGAUCCGCGCUGCAUUAGCUAGUUGGUAAGGUAACGGCUUACCAAGGCAACGAUGCAUAGCCGACCUGAGAGGGUGAUCGGCCACACUGGAACUGAGACACGGUCCAGACUCCUACGGGAGGCAGCAGUAGGGAAUCUUCCGCAAUGGGCGAAAGCCUGACGGAGCAACGCCGCGUGAGUGAUGAAGGUCUUCGGAUCGUAAAACUCUGUUAUUAGGGAAGAACAUAUGUGUAAGUAACUGUGCACAUCUUGACGGUACCUAAUCAGAAAGCCACGGCUAACUACGUG